UCUCUCAGGCUGUGCCCCGGGAGCUGCCCUCUGAAGCACCUGUGUGUGGCCGCUUGGCGCGACCCGCGGCACAGGUGGGCCUGCUGCUUGCCGCCGUCUCAGAGCAGGCGAGGCUGGCGCGGGCUGGGCGGGACAGCGGCGGGAGGCAGGCGUGUGCCAGGCAGCGGCUGCGGCUGCCGCGGCGUGAGGGCAGGAGCAGGGUGAAAACAGGAGCAGCCAUCAAGCGAGCCGGAACACCAACCGGGCGGCAGAGGAAGUGAUGUACACUGGCAUCUACUUUGCUGCUCUGGAGUCCUAUGCACAGAUGAGCACUCGAUUACAAGACUUUCAGGCUUCAGUGAGGAACCUGAACCUGAGAAUCACCAAACCUCAGAGAUCAGAGUGAAGAAGUUUUGCCACCAUUCUUGUUUUGAGCAGCUGCCAAGAUCCACUAAACUUUUGUAUUCUCUUCCCAAAACUGAAGCAUCUCCAUGUUUGCAUAUUAGAAAACCAGGACACAUCAUGUGUCCUAGGAGGCUUUUUCUCCUAACUCCUAAUAGCCUUUUUUUUCUCCUGUGAACAUACAUUUUAGC